rnacentral:misc_RNA from 1 species
GAAAUGCGAUAAGUAAUGUGAAUUGCAGAAUUCAGUGAAUCAUCGAAUCUUUGAACGCACCUUGCGCUCCUUGGUAUUCCUUGGAGCAUGCCUGUUUGAGUAUCAUGAAAUCUUCAAAGUAAAUCUUUUGUUAACUCAAUUGGUUUCUACUUUGGUAUUGGAGGUCUUUGCAGCUUCACACCUGCUCCUCUUUGUUCAUUAGCUGGAUCUCAGUGUUAUGCUUGGUUCCACUCGGCGUGAUAAGUUAUCUAUCGCUGAGGACACUGUAAAAAGUGGCCAAGGUAAAUGCAGAUGAACCGCUUCUAAUAGUCCAUUGACUUGGACAAUACUUUUAUGAUCUGAUCUCAAAUCAGGUAGGACUACCCGCUGAACUUAAGC